GGUAAGGGGGUAAAAUGGCUGAAUUAAGCAUUAGACUGUAAAUCUAAAGAUAAAGGUGUAAAUCCUUUUUUUACCA
rnacentral:tRNA from 1 species